rnacentral:rRNA from 1 species
AGAGUUUGAUCAUGGCUCAGAUUGAACGCUGGCGGCAGGCCUAACACAUGCAAGUCGAGCGGUAGCACAGAGAGCUUGCUCUCGGGUGACGAGCGGCGGACGGGUGAGUAAUGUCUGGGAAACUGCCUGAUGGAGGGGGAUAACUACUGGAAACGGUAGCUAAUACCGCAUAAUGUCGCAAGACCAAAGUGGGGGACCUUCGGGCCUCAUGCCAUCAGAUGUGCCCAGAUGGGAUUAGCUAGUAGGUGGGGUAACGGCUCACCUAGGCGACGAUCCCUAGCUGGUCUGAGAGGAUGACCAGCCACACUGGAACUGAGACACGGUCCAGACUCCUACGGGAGGCAGCAGUGGGGAAUAUUGCACAAUGGGCGCAAGCCUGAUGCAGCCAUGCCGCGUGUGUGAAGAAGGCCUUCGGGUUGUAAAGCACUUUCAGCGGGGAGGAAGGCGGUGAGGUUAAUAACCUCAUCGAUUGACGUUACCCGCAGAAGAAGCACCGGCUAACUCCGUGCCAGCAGCCGCGGUAAUACGGAGGGUGCAAGCGUUAAUCGGAAUUACUGGGCGUAAAGCGCACGCAGGCGGUCUGUCAAGUCGGAUGUGAAAUCCCCGGGCUUAACCUGGGAACUGCAUUCGAAACUGGCAGGCUAGAGUCUUGUAGAGGGGGGUAGAAUUCCAGGUGUAGCGGUGAAAUGCGUAGAGAUCUGGAGGAAUACCGGUGGCGAAGGCGGCCCCCUGGACAAAGACUGACGCUCAGGUGCGAAAGCGUGGGGAGCAAACAGGAUUAGAUACCCUGGUAGUCCACGCCGUAAACGAUGUCGAUUUGGAGGUUGUGCCCUUGAGGCGUGGCUUCCGGAGCUAACGCGUUAAAUCGACCGCCUGGGGAGUACGGCCGCAAGGUUAAAACUCAAAUGAAUUGACGGGGGCCCGCACAAGCGGUGGAGCAUGUGGUUUAAUUCGAUGCAACGCGAAGAACCUUACCUGGUCUUGACAUCCACAGAACUUUCCAGAGAUGGAUUGGUGCCUUCGGGAACUGUGAGACAGGUGCUGCAUGGCUGUCGUCAGCUCGUGUUGUGAAAUGUUGGGUUAAGUCCCGCAACGAGCGCAACCCUUAUCCUUUGUUGCCAGCGGUCCGGCCGGGAACUCAAAGGAGACUGCCAGUGAUAAACUGGAGGAAGGUGGGGAUGACGUCAAGUCAUCAUGGCCCUUACGACCAGGGCUACACACGUGCUACAAUGGCAUAUACAAAGAGAAGCGACCUCGCGAGAGCAAGCGGACCUCAUAAAGUAUGUCGUAGUCCGGAUUGGAGUCUGCAACUCGACUCCAUGAAGUCGGAAUCGCUAGUAAUCGUAGAUCAGAAUGCUACGGUGAAUACGUUCCCGGGCCUUGUACACACCGCCCGUCACACCAUGGGAGUGGGUUGCAAAAGAAGUAGGUAGCUUAACCUUCGGGAGGGCGCUUACCACUUUGUGAUUCAUGACUGGGGUGAAGUCGUAACAAGGUAACCGUAGGGGAACCUGCGGUUGGAUCACCU